UUAGUCAAUGCUCGCAAGAGUGAACUAGCUAACUGAAAUCAAAUUUAUAUGAAAUUUGAUAACGUAAGGGAAGAUAAUGACAUUACCUUACUAUUAGUGUUGUCCAAAUCUGGUGCCAGAAGACUCGGUAAGGCCAGAAACGCGAACGUUAGUCGUCUUAAUCAGGCGUAAAGGGUGUGUAGGCAGCUUUAAAUUUUCUCUUUAUUAUUAAAGUUCUUUUGCUUUUUAAAAAAUCAAUAAUUUAAAAAGUCUAAACUUAUUUAAUGUAGACUGAUUAAUUCCUAAUGAUAUGUAUAUAUAAUCAUAUAUAUGAUUAAGAAAAUUCUAAUUAUUUUGCUUUAGUUAAAAAAAGAAAAAAAUCAAAUAUAGAAUUUUUUUAAAAAUAAAGAAUUAAUUAAAGUAAAGAUCAAUGAAUAAAAGCUAGAAUCAAAUAGAGGAUAUUUUAAAUAAUACCUAGAGGAGGGGUGAUAUCCUUAGAUACUAGGUAGAAUAUUAAUGGUGAAAGCUUUUAUCUACUAAUGAUUGACGCUGAGAAACGAAGGUGAGGAUAGGAAAUAGGAUUAGAUACCCAGAUACCCCUCUCUGUCAACGAUGAAUGGUGGUUGCUAGUUAUAUAAAUUAAUUGGUGGCUAUGUUAACACGAUAACCAUUCCGCCAUGUGAGUACGACUGCAAAGUUGAAAACAAAAAAAUUAGUCGGUCUCGAAGCAAACGAAGUGAAGCAUGUUAUUUAAU
rnacentral:rRNA from 1 species